AUUGAACGCUGGCGGCAUGCCUUACACAUGCAAGUCGAACGGCAGCAUGGGUGCUUGCACCUGAUGGCGAGUGGCGAACGGGUGAGUAAUGCAUCGGAACGUACCCGGAAGUGGGGGAUAACGUAGCGAAAGUUACGCUAAUACCGCAUAUUCUGUGAGCAGGAAAGCGGGGGAUCGCAAGACCUCGCGCUUCCGGAGCGGCCGAUGUCGGAUUAGCUAGUUGGCGGGGUAAAGGCCCACCAAGGCAACGAUCCGUAGCGGGUCUGAGAGGAUGAUCCGCCACACUGGGACUGAGACACGGCCCAGACUCCUACGGGAGGCAGCAGUGGGGAAUUUUGGACAAUGGGGGCAACCCUGAUCCAGCCAUGCCGCGUGAGUGAAGAAGGCCUUCGGUUGUAAGCUCUUCGGCUGGAGAAUCGCAUCUCCUAAUACGGGUGUGGAUGACGGUACCAGCAUAAGAAGACACCGGCUAACUACGUGCC
rnacentral:rRNA from 1 species